CUGGAAAGCUUAAACUGAUUGAUUUCUACCACAGAGAUGGUUAAACAGAGGGGAGUAGGAAUUACACAUCUGAAGCAGAGAUGAAACUAGCAGCCAUAACAAAAAUUAUGCAAAAUGCUGCUCCUUGAUUGAUAAUAUAUAUGUCUAAUCCUAGCUAUUACAAACAAAAUAGAAGUACCAACAAAAGUCCUCCCAGUAACAAUUUUAUUACUUUAAAUGCACCGUUGCUUCCCACUUAGACAUUCCUCGUAGUCUUUCUCGCCCUAAUUCAUCCUCUGCUAGGGACAAGACUGCUCUUGUGUUUCAACAGGCCAUAAGUCGGACAAAUCGGGAGAAGAAAAGUCCAAAAUCACAUCAUCUAACCUGUCCCAAGCUUUGUCUCCAGCAGGGAUUAUCUUCUUUGAGAACCUCCCAUGGCAUCAGAUCAUCAUCGUAAAUCUCCAACCGUGUCAUUAGAUGAUUGCAUUGGAGUGGCCUUCCCUCGUUUUUUUUCUGUCAGGUAAUAUGUAACAAGUUGUUCAUCAGAGGGGUCGAAACAAACCCCUGGUAUCUUCAAACAUUCACAUUGGCAGCCUUCUCUUUCCAAUAUUCUUCCUUUGAAGAAAUAUUUCUUCACAAUAAUACACUAUAUAUCUUAGGUUUAAUAUGUCUGGUGUCUAGCAUCUAGAUUUUUAAACGUAUGAUGAAGCAGC
rnacentral:lncRNA from 1 species